rnacentral:piRNA from 1 species
UACUACUGAUACCAGGAUGUGCUUGCU